rnacentral:lncRNA from 1 species
AAAAAUAUGCUUUAAGUGUUUGUACUUCGGAAUUCGAACUCCAUUUCGACUUUCGUAUCAAACGGCCAAAGUAGAAAACGAAUUCCUCGGACGUGACAUUUUCCAGGGAAUUUAAUGCUAUCAAACAGAACCUAAAAGAAUGUCAUUUCCCAUAUGGUGCAUGCCAAAACCACAGUUGAUAAAUGAGCGAAGGACAUCAAGACACUAGAGGAUUUUUGGGCUUAGCACAAAUGGAGACGAACUUCACCAAAGUAACGCCC